GCCACCUGCAAGCUGCUCGGUCCACUCGUAGGUUCAUGUCGGCGGAUCCCCGUCGAUGCACUCGACACAAACCAUGGCUUGCUGUGCAGUUCAUUGUGCUAACAGACCGUCUCACAGCUCUGUUGUCAAGUUCUUCCGUUUCCAUCUAGGUGAUCCCGAGAGGCUAGACCUGUGGGUGAUCAACAUGAAGAGACAGAACUGGAUUCUGAGUCUCUGCAGUCAACACUUAAGAGACAUCACUUGAGCAUUGACAAAAGGUUGCAGGCCAUCUUUAGUUGAGGGAGAAAACGUGAAGUGUUGGGCCGUUGAAGCUUGUGCAGGUCGUCCUCGUGUUGACCAGCCUGAAGCUGCCGAUCUCCACCAUGUUGCUGCUGAGGACAGAUCCGGUGCUGCAGUGCUUCAUCUGAUGAAAAGAAGAAACUCACUAUAAAAUAAUGUUUUGUGUUGUGUUUGUUCCAGCAAAGACUGGUUCUUACAGUUUAUUCUGUGUUCAUCACCACAGAUUUCAGACAGAACCAAUGUACUGGGCUCUGGGUUUGUACCCUCAUAGUUGAAUGCACAUAUUGUAAGUAAGUCUGGAUCAAAGUGUCAGCCAAAUGAAAUGUAAU